UACAGAGGUCCCAAGCGUUGUUCGGAUUCACUGGGCGUAAAGGGUGCGUAGGUGGCUGGGAAAGUUUGAUGUGAAAGCUCGGAGCUCAACUCCGAAAUGGCAUUGAAUACUUCUCAGCUUGAGGGUCGGAGGGGAGACUGGAAUUCUCGGUGUAGCAGUGAAAUGCGUAGAUAUCGAGAGGAACACCAGUGGCGAAGGCGAGUCUCUGGACGACUCCUGACACUGAGGCACGAAAGCUAGGGGAGCAAACAGG
rnacentral:rRNA from 1 species